UACGUAGGUGGCAAGCGUUGUCCGGAUUUAUUGGGCGUAAAGGGAACGCAGGCGGUCUUUUAAGUCUGAUGUGAAAGCCCUCGGCUUAACCGGAGAUCUGCAUUGGAAACUGGAAGACUUGAGUGCAGAAGAGGAGAGUGGAACUCCAUGUGUAGCGGUGAAAUGCGUAGAUAUAUGGAAGAACACCAGUGGCGAAGGCGGCUCUCUGGUCUGUAACUGACGCUGAGGUUCGAAAGCGUGGGUAGCGAACAGG
rnacentral:rRNA from 1 species